ACUCCCGUAGCUCAACUGGUUAGAGCGUCAAGCUUAUAUGACAAGAUAUGUCACAUACUGUCGUAUGCCUAAGCCUCUUGGAGGUUGGGAGUUCGAUCCUCCCCGGGAGUA